GUUAACGUAGGUCACCGUAGCUGUUGAUGCAUAGGACGCGUUUGAUUGACUCGGACCGUAUGGCUGGGUGAAUUCUCAAUUAAUUGUUACACUGCACCGCGAUCUUUCCCUAAAAUCGGGGGGGGGGGGGGGAGGAGACAAAAAAUCGGCAAAGUACGAGCGCGAUAUUGACAUUUGCGGAUGAUCGGAGCGCGUUAAAAGAAUACGCUGAUUUUAGCAUUGCAUUGAAUGUCAAUGUCUGCCGUAGUGGAAUAUUCGAAAGUUUGACAUGCUACCGAAAGUUUAAGGAGAAUAUUUUACAAAUUCCACCUCUUAUCCUGCCUGCAUCCUCGCGAUAUCAGGGAUAAGGAAGAAAAAAGUUGGUUCAUUUCGAAGUUGAUCGAAUGAAGGCAAAACACUAAAACACGAAUGAAUGAAGAAUCACGCCCACAGGUCCGAGCAACUAUACAUAUACAUCUGUGUUUUACAAAUGUUGCCGUUAUGUUUUACAGCUAAUUUGAAUAAACUGAUUUAUCACUUUGUGUAACU
rnacentral:lncRNA from 1 species